rnacentral:tRNA from 9 species
GCGUCUGUAGCUCAGGUGGAUAGAGCAGCGGUUUCCUAAACCGCGUGCCGGGGGUUCGAGUCCCUCCAGGCGCACCA